rnacentral:tRNA from 1 species
GGAGAGAUGGCCGAGCUGGCUGAAGGCGCUCGCCUGCUAAGCGAGUGAGGGGUGAAAACUCCUCCGAGGGUUCGAAUCCCUCUCUCUCCGCCA